rnacentral:rRNA from 1 species
GGUUAAGCGACUAAGCGUACACGGUGGAUGCCCUGGCAGUCAGAGGCGAUGAAGGACGUGCUAAUCUGCGAAAAGCGCCGGCGAGGUGAUAUGAACCUUUGACCCGGCGAUGUCCGAAUGGGGAAACCCAGUGUGAUUCGUCACACUAUCGUUAACUGAAUACAUAGGUUAACGAGGCGAACCGGGGGAACUGAAACAUCUAAGUACCCCGAGGAAAAGAAAUCAACCGAGAUUCCCCCAGUAGCGGCGAGCGAACGGGGAGCAGCCCAGAGUCUGAAUCAGCUUGUGUGUUAGUGGAAGCGUCUGGAAAGUCGCACGGUACAGGGUGACAGUCCCGUACACGAAAGCACACAGGCUGUGAACUCGAAGAGUAGGGCGGGACACGUGGUAUCCUGUCUGAAUAUGGGGGGACCAUCCUCCAAGGCUAAAUACUCCUGACUGACCGAUAGUGAACCAGUACCGUGAGGGAAAGGCGAAAAGAACCCCGGCGAGGGGAGUGAAAUAGAACCUGAAACCGUGUACGUACAAGCAGUGGGAGCACCUUCGUGGUGUGACUGCGUACCUUUUGUAUAAUGGGUCAGCGACUUAUAUUCUGUAGCAAGGUUAACCGUAUAGGGGAGCCGAAGGGAAACCGAGUCUUAACUGGGCGUUAAGUUGCAGGGUAUAGACCCGAAACCCGGUGAUCUAGCCAUGGGCAGGUUGAAGGUUGGGUAACACUAACUGGAGGACCGAACCGACUAAUGUUGAAAAAUUAGCGGAUGACUUGUGGCUGGGGGUGAAAGGCCAAUCAAACCGGGAGAUAGCUGGUUCUCCCCGAAAGCUAUUUAGGUAGCGCCUCGUGAACUCAUCUUCGGGGGUAGAGCACUGUUUCGGCUAGGGGGCCAUCCCGGCUUACCAACCCGAUGCAAACUACGAAUACCGAAGAAUGUUAUCACGGGAGACACACGGCGGGUGCUAACGUCCGUCGUGAAGAGGGAAACAACCCAGACCGCCAGCUAAGGUCCCAAAGUCAUGGUUAAGUGGGAAACGAUGUGGGAAGGCACAGACAGCCAGGAUGUUGGCUUAGAAGCAGCCAUCAUUUAAAGAAAGCGUAAUAGCUCACUGGUCGAGUCGGCCUGCGCGGAAGAUGUAACGGGGCUAAACCAUGCACCGAAGCUGCGGCAGCGACGCGUAUGCGUUGUUGGGUAGGGGAGCGUUCUGUAAGCCGUUGAAGGUGGCCUGUGAGGGUUGCUGGAGGUAUCAGAAGUGCGAAUGCUGACAUAAGUAACGAUAAAGCGGGUGAAAAGCCCGCUCGCCGGAAGACCAAGGGUUCCUGUCCAACGUUAAUCGGGGCAGGGUGAGUCGACCCCUAAGGCGAGGCCGAAAGGCGUAGUCGAUGGGAAACAGGUUAAUAUUCCUGUACUUGGUGUUACUGCGAAGGGGGGACGGAGAAGGCUAUGUUAGCCGGGCGACGGUUGUCCCGGUUUAAGCAUGUAGGCGGAACGAUUAGGUAAAUCCGGUCGUUUUUUAACGCUGAGGUGUGAUGACGAGGCACUACGGUGCUGAAGUAACAAAUGCCCUGCUUCCAGGAAAAGCCUCUAAGCAUCAGGUAACAUCAAAUCGUACCCCAAACCGACACAGGUGGUCAGGUAGAGAAUACCAAGGCGCUUGAGAGAACUCGGGUGAAGGAACUAGGCAAAAUGGUGCCGUAACUUCGGGAGAAGGCACGCUGAUAUGUAGGUGAAGCCCCUGCGGGUGGAGCUGAAAUCAGUCGAAGAUACCAGCUGGCUGCAACUGUUUAUUAAAAACACAGCACUGUGCAAACACGAAAGUGGACGUAUACGGUGUGACGCCUGCCCGGUGCCGGAAGGUUAAUUGAUGGGGUUAGCGGCAACGCGAAGCUCUUGAUCGAAGCCCCGGUAAACGGCGGCCGUAACUAUAACGGUCCUAAGGUAGCGAAAUUCCUUGUCGGGUAAGUUCCGACCUGCACGAAUGGCGUAAUGAUGGCCAGGCUGUCUCCACCCGAGACUCAGUGAAAUUGAACUCGCUGUGAAGAUGCAGUGUACCCGCGGCAAGACGGAAAGACCCCGUGAACCUUUACUAUAGCUUGACACUGAACACUGGUCCUUGAUGUGUAGGAUAGGUGGGAGGCUUUGAAGCGUGGACGCCAGUCUGCGUGGAGCCGUCCUUGAAAUACCACCCUUUAAUGGCUGGUGUUCUAACGUAGACCCGUAAUCCGGGUUGCGGACAGUGUCUGGUGGGUAGUUUGACUGGGGCGGUCUCCUCCCAAAGAGUAACGGAGGAGCACGAAGGUUAGCUAAUCCUGGUCGGACAUCAGGAGGUUAGUGCAAUGGCAUAAGCUAGCUUGACUGCGAGAGUGACGGCUCGAGCAGGUGCGAAAGCAGGUCAUAGUGAUCCGGUGGUUCUGAAUGGAAGGGCCAUCGCUCAACGGAUAAAAGGUACUCCGGGGAUAACAGGCUGAUACCGCCCAAGAGUUCAUAUCGACGGCGGUGUUUGGCACCUCGAUGUCGGCUCAUCACAUCCUGGGGCUGAAGUAGGUCCCAAGGGUAUGGCUGUUCGCCAUUUAAAGUGGUACGCGAGCUGGGUUUAGAACGUCGUGAGACAGUUCGGUCCCUAUCUGCCGUGGGCGCUGGAGAAUUGAGGGGGGCUGCUCCUAGUACGAGAGGACCGGAGUGGACGCAUCACUGGUGUUCGGGUUGUCAUGCCAAUGGCACUGCCCGGUAGCUAAAUGCGGAAAAGAUAAGUGCUGAAAGCAUCUAAGCACGAAACUUGCCCCGAGAUGAGUUCUCCCUGAGACUUUAAGUCUCCUGAAGGAACGUUGAAGACGACGACGUUGAUAGGUCGGGUGUGUAAGCGCAGCGAUGCGUUGAGCUAACCGAUACUAAUGAACCGUGAGGCUUAACCUU